rnacentral:rRNA from 1 species
AAGGCCUACCAAGCCGACGAUCUCUAGCUGGUCUGAGAGGAUGACCAGCCACACUGGAACUGAGACACGGUCCAGACUCCUACGGGAGGCAGCAGUGGGGAAUAUUGCACAAUGGGGGGAACCCUGAUGCAGCCAUGCCGCGUGAAUGAAGAAGGCCUUCGGGUUGUAAAGUUCUUUCGGUGAUGAGGAAGGUGUUUGUUUUAAUAGAACAAGCAAUUGACGUUAGUCACAGAAGAAGCACCGGCUAACUCCGUGCCAGCAGCCGCGGUAAUACGGAGGGUGCGAGCGUUAAUCGGAAUGACUGGGCGUAAAGGGCACGCAGGCGGUGACUUAAGUGAGAUGUGAAAGCCCCGGGCUUAACCUGGGAAUUGCAUUUCAUACUGGGUCGCUAGAGUAUUUUAGGGAGGGGUAGAAUUCCACGUGUAGCGGUGAAAUGCGUAGAGAUGUGGAGGAAUACCGAAGGCGAAGGCAGCCCCUUGGGAAAAUACUGACGCUCAUGUGCGAAAGCGUGGGGAGCAAACAGGAUUAGAUACCCUGGUAGUCCACGCUGUAAACGCUGUCGAUUUGGGGAUUGGGCUUUAAGCUUGGUGCCCGUAGCUAACGUGAUAA